UACGUAGGGGGCAAGCGUUGUCCGGAUUUAUUGGGCGUAAAGAGCGUGUAGGCGGCCAGGUAGGUCUGCUGUGAAAACUCGAGGCUUAACCUCGAGCUGUCGGCGGAAACCAUCUGGCUAGAGUCCGGAAGAGGAGAAUGGAAUUCCAGGUGUAGCGGUGAAAUGCGUAGAUAUCUGGAGGAACACCGGUGGCGAAGGCGGCAUUCUGGACUACAACUGACACUGAGGAACGAAAGCCAGGGGAGCAAACGGG
rnacentral:rRNA from 1 species